GUUCAUCAGUACUGGACAACCAGGCGCUUCCGAAUUCCACACAGUGCACAUCUGCACUCCAAUUUAGCUGCUGUCUGGGAUCAACACCUGUACAGCAGUGACCCUCUGUACGUGCCAGAUGACAGGGUGGUGGUUACUGAGACACAGGUCAUUCGGGAGACCCUGUGGUAAGAUGCAUCAGCCUGGGAGGCUGUACUAGUGACAAGUAAAAUUGUUUUCUUCUGUGUUUAAGGCAUAGACUCAAGAUGUUCAUUCUACUUGGAGGCUAGCAACAGGCCUUAGGGAUGAAUUUCAGACUUUAGGUUUCACUGUGAAGCAUGUGUAAUUUUGAUAAAUUCUUUCCCGUUUUAAAUAAUUUGGGAUCGAGUUAGACCAUCAUUUUUGAAUAUCUGAAUUUAAAGCAAGGUUUGCUGUUGACUCUUUCACUUGAAAUGUGUCUGUGAGAGUUGUCUAUGCUUGUACCCAACACUGUGAGUCUACUGCAGCCUCUGAUGAGGUCUAGAUGGUACUAAUAUUCGAUCAAGAUUCUUACAGUUUUAAACAUGCAGGGGUAUCUUUGUAUCUUAAGGAAUUUAGCGGCUGUGUCUUUCUGUGUGUGUGUCUGUCUGUGUGUCUCGGGGCGGGGGUGGUGGGGUGAUUGAACUUAUAAAUGAUGGUGAGAUAAAUAUCUUGAGUCUUAAUCCUGUGAAGUUUGACACUCUUCCCAUUUUCGUGCAAUUGACCCAUUUUGCCCCCCAAUUCUGAAUUUUCAAAAUAAAAUUCUCAACUAUACUUUAAUGAUUAUUUUAGUAGACUUCAAGCAUAUUGAUCUUGAUCUUUUUUUAUUUCAUUUCAGGUUACUUUCAGGGGUGAAAAAGAUGUUUAUAUUUCAGUUGAUAGAUGGGAAGGUAACUGUGAGAAACAAUAUUAUUGUAACUCACUUGACACAUGUAAGUAUCUGUUGUUGCUUAAAAAUUAAAUUUAAAAUUAAGCAGUCUUUUAAAUGGUGGUGAUAUGCCUUUAGGGCAUUUUACAUUAUCAAAUUUAUUGAAUAAAUUUUAAAGCUCUACAAAGCAAAAUUAAGUUGUGCUUACUGGGCUUAGCCAAUUCUUAAAUAUUUGUGACAUUUAAUUUUUAUUUAAUUUUUUUUCUUAUAUUCUAUAUCGAGAAAGCUGGAUACUGUAAUGAUUUUUUUUUCUGUACUUUAUGUGUGUUUUUAAAAAGUAUAAGCCGUAAUUCUGUAGUGUGUAUGAACUGAUUGUUCACUGUUUCUUUUAAAUAUGAACUAAACUCAUUAUGUUCCUUUGUCAUGUAUCACACAGUUUCUUUACAAUUGAACCUGUGUAGAAGGCAGCUUUGAAUACUUACACUUGACUUGUGUUAUAGAGCUGUUUACGAUCUGUGCUGGAACAAAUAGCAGCGUAUGGCCAGGUUGUGUUUCGGCUCCAGGAGUUCAUUGAUGAAGUCAUGGGGCACAGCUCUGAAAGUCUACCACCGGGAAAUGGCCCCAUACCUAAGAAGCAACCUGACGCUCCCUUUAGAACCUACCAGGCCUUCAUGUGGGCCCUCUACAAAUACUUCAUUAACUUCAAGGAAGAGCUUACAGACAUUGAGAAGUGUGUUAUCAGUAGUGGUAGGUCAUCUUCUUCUUUUUUAUUAAUUCAUAAAGCCACCUAACUCACUUGGAAUAUUUUUAAAGUUAUUCAGUUAUUGAUAAAACAUUUAAAAAUUACAUGGCAAAUAAGUAAUUCUUAUAAAUAUAUUCAUUUUUAAAGUGAUUUUAGGCCUGGAGAGAUAGCACAACAGAUAAAGACACUUGCCACCCAGCCUUACAGCCUGAGUUUAAUCUGCAGGACUAGCAUAAUAGAGGGGAAAACCAGUUCUUUCAAGUUUUCCUCUACCUCCACAUGUGCACUGUGGCACACACACAUCUACCUCCCCCCGGCCCCAAUACACACAUGCAUGUGCGCGCGCACACACAAAUACGUAAAUGAAAUAAAAAUGUUAAAUAAUUUUGAAGCUACCUUACAUUUUAUUUUUAAGACAUUUGUCUCUAAAAACCCAAAAUUACUGAAGAGCUUACAGUGAUCAUUUUUCUUGUUCCAGUUCCCCUGCCAGACAGGCAGCUUCUGCACAUGCUUUUAGAGAGAGCUCCCUCGUUCCCUUCUACAGAAAACUGUUUGUUCAUACCACACCCCAGUUCUCCGUGCUGGACACUGGGACUGCGCCCACUCUACGGUUGGCAGGACCUGCAGUGGUUACCUCUUAGACAUUGCAGCAGUUACACACAUGCACAGUGGAGCUGAUACAUCAAAGACUUUAUGUAAUAACAUGUGACUUUUGCUAGAUUUUUCUUUAUUUCUCUACAAGAAAAUAUAGGGAAGUUUAUACUCUUGCCGGCAGGGUCUUGUUAUAUAUUACUAAACUUUUGUUCUUUACAAAUAUGACAGGUGUAAAAUGUUCAACGAGUAUGUGGUUUUUUUUUGUUUUUCCACCUGUAAUUUUCUGUUUUGUUAAUUAAUUUUGUUUAAUUAAGGACAGAGUAGCACAAAGAGUGCCCAUGUUUGCUUGUCUCCAUAAUUAUAACAUAGAGUCAGCUAGGAGACUGCCAUGUCACUGCGGCGCAUUAGCCGGACUACAGGUCCAGCAGUGGGGGCGGCAUAGCGCCCUUGCAGUCUGCCACUUUAGCACAUGUAUAGAACUGUACAGUGCCUUGAUGUUCAGGGUAAGGAGCUGUGUCAGUGCCAUCUGAGAACUUGGUUGAGCCACCUCUUUGUAGCUUUACCGUGUGUAGCUUUAGUUUAUGUUCUUUACAUGAAGUUCAGUGCCCUUUGUAAUAACAUUAAAGACCAUUUGUCUUUCUUUUCUGAUUUAUGUCUUCCCAUAUACAUUAUUUUUGUCUGAGUUACCUUUUUCUCUCUGACUUAUGGAAAUUCCUUCUUUAAGGAAGAUAUGAUAUUAAAGAUAAUGGUAUUAAGAUAUGAUAUUAAGGGGCUGGAGAGAUUGCUCAGAGUUUAAGAGCAUUGGCUGCUCUUCCAGAGGUCUUGAGUUCAAUUCCCAGCAACUGCAUGGUGGCUCAUAACCAUCUAUGAGAUCUGGUGCCCUCUUCUGAUCUACAGGCAUCCAUACAGGCAAACCACUGCAUACAUAAUAAAUAAAUCUUUAAAAAACAAGAGAAGAUAUUAAAACUUACCACCCUCCAUCUGGCUGUGCCUUUCCAUAUGUCAAAGAAAAGGCAUUAUUAGCAUCAGUAUUAUAUGUUGGUCACAGAUGUCUUUUCUUGCUAUUCAGUUUGAUUUGUUGAUACUUAACAGAUACAACCAUAACACUUGCAAUAGUGGUGAACAAGUUGGCACCUCGAUUGGCGCAGCUAAAGGUCCUGGACAAAGUGUUUAGUACUGGAGUGGCAGAAGUUCCACCUGAUACUCGCAAUGUCGUCCGGGCAUCUCACCUGCUUAACACCCUGUACAAGGCCAUUCUUGAAUAUGACAAUGUUGGCGAAGCCUCUGAACAAACAGUAUGUUGGACUUUUGGGUGAACUAAAGUGCAUGAUGAAAAGAUAGAACCUGUAUAAUUCCUUGUUAAAUGAUGUUUAACUCAUGGUAUGUCAGGCAGUUGUUCAAAGUUCCACAGCUUCCAAAUGUAUGGCUGGCUUACCAGCUUUAAUUACCAGAAGAGCCAGGAGGAUGAAGCAAAAGGAAAGCAAGAAGUGAAAAAUACCUAUGUGACUUAUACAGAUAAUCAUUUU
rnacentral:lncRNA from 1 species